CCUGCUGUACGACCGUAGCCUAGGAGGACAUGCGUCCUGGUAAAGGUGAGGUGUGAAGCUCCUCUGACAACGUAGCCCCUGAUGUACGGGCGAGUAUCCAUUGUGAAAUGGCCAUUCGGAGACUCCUAGCAGCAAGGGGGGGUCAAGGCG
rfam:Candidatus Burkholderia pumila strain TZHbot3 BPMIctg23, whole genome shotgun sequence.